rnacentral:rRNA from 1 species
CCAAGUAGCGUGAAGGAUGACUGCCNNAUGGGUUGUAAACUUCUUUUAUAAGGGAAUAAAGUGAGGGACGUGUCCCUUUUUGUAUGUACCUUAUGAAUAAGGAUCGGCUAACUCCGUGCCAGCAGCCGCGGUAAUACGGAGGAUCCAAGCGUUAUCCGGAUUUAUUGGGUUUAAAGGGAGCGUAGGUUGACAUAUAAGUCAGCUGUGAAAGUUUACGGCUCAACCGUGAAAUUGCAGCUGAUACUGUAUGUCUUGAGUGUACAAGAGGUGGGCGGAAUUCGUGGUGUAGCGGUGAAAUGCUUAGAUAUCACGAAGAACUCCAAUUGCGAAGGCAGCUCACUGGGGUACAACUGACACUGAGGCUCGAAAGUGUGGGUAUCAAACAGGAUUAGAUACCCUGGUAGUCCACACAGUAAACGAUGAAUACUCGCUGUUUGCGAUAUACAGUAAGCGGCCAAGCGAAAGCAUUAAGUAUUCCACCUGGGGAGUACGCCGGCAACGGUGAAACUCAAAGGAAUUGACGGGGGCCCGCACAAGCGGAGGAACAUGUGGUUUAAUUCGAUGAUACGCGAGGAACCUUACCCGGGCUUGAAUUGCAGAGGAACAUAGUUGAAAGAUUAUGGCCGCAAGGUCUCUGUGAAGGUGCUGCAUGGUUGUCGUCAGCUCGUGCCGUGAGGUGUCGGCUUAAGUGCCAUAACGAGCGCAACCCUUAUCAUUAGUUACUAACAGGUGAUGCUGAGGACUCUAGUGAGACUGCCGUCGUAAGAUGUGAGGAAGGUGGA